rnacentral:rRNA from 1 species
UACGUAGGGUGCGAGCGUUAAUCGGAAUUACUGGGCGUAAAGAGUGCGUAGGCGGUUGAUUAAGUCAGAUGUGAAAGCCCCGGGCUCAACUUGGGAAGUGCGUCUGAAACUGAUUGGCUAGAGUUUGAUAGAGGGGGGUAGAAUUCCUGGUGUAGCAGUGAAAUGCGUAGAGAUCAGGAGGAAUACCGAUGGCGAAGGCAGCCCCCUGGAUUAAAACUGACGCUCAGGCACGAAAGCAUGGGGAGCAAACAGG